UGCAGAAUCCCGUGAACCAUCGAGUCUUUGAACGCAAGUUGCGCCCUAAGCCUUCUGGCCGAGGGCACGUCUGCCUGGGUGUCACAAAUCGUCGUCCCUCUCAUCCUUCUCGGAUAUGGGACGGAAGCUGGUCUCCCGUGUGUUACCGCAUGCGGUUGGCCGAAAUCCGAGCUAAGGACGCCGAGUGCGUCACGACAUGCGGUGGUGAACUAAAGCCUCUUCGUAUCGUCGGUCGUUCUUGUCCGGAAGCUCUCGAUGACCCAAGUCCUCAAAGCGACCCCAGGUCAGGCGGGAUCACCCGCUGAGUUUAAGCAUAUCAAUAAGCGGAGGAGAAGAAACUAACAAGGAUUCCCUUAGUAACGGCGAGCGAACCGGGAAGAGCCCAGCUUGAAAAUCGGAUGUCUUCGACAUUCGA
rnacentral:rRNA from 1 species